rnacentral:rRNA from 1 species
UACAGAGGUCUCGAGCGUUAGGCGGAAUCACUGGGCUUAAAGCGUGUGUAGGCGGAUCGUUAAGUACCUUGUGAAAUCCCACGGCUUAACCGUGGAACUGCUGGGUAUACUGGCGAUCUUGAGCCAUCUAGGGGCGAGCGGAACAAAUGGUGGAGCGGUGAAAUGCGUAGAUAUCAUUUGGAACGCCAAAGGUGAAAACAGCUCGCUAGGGAUGUGCUGACGCUGAGACACGAAAGCCCAGGGGAGCGAACGGG